GUGGCUGCCGGAUGGGUGCUCUCUACUACUGCUGUGCAGAGGCUUUCCCUGAGGCUGCUGUGAGCCUGUAGGGUUUACCCUAGGCUACAGAGCUGG
rnacentral:pre_miRNA from 1 species